UACGGGGGGGCAAGCGUUGUUCGGAAUUACUGGGCGUAAAGGGCUCGUAGGCGGCCAACUAAGUCAGACGUGAAAUCCCUCGGCUUAACCGGGGAACUGCAGCUGAUACUGGAUGGCUUGAGAUUGGGAGAGGGAUGCGGAAUUCCAGGUGUAGCGGUGAAAUGUGUAGAUAUCAAGUGGAACACCAGUGGCGAAGGCGGCAUCCUGGACCAAUAUUGACGCUGAGGAGCGAAAGCCAGGGGAGCAAACGGG
rnacentral:rRNA from 1 species